CCACCAGCCAAAAGAAGGAAGGUGUUUAUGAUGUGCCAAAAAGUCAACCUGUAAGUGCUGUGACCCAAUUAGAACUUUUUGGAGACAUGUCCACCCCUCCUGAUAUAACUUCUCCCCCUACUCCUGCAACCCCAGGUGAUGCCUUUCUCCCGUCGUCAUCCCAGACGCUUCCGGGGAGUGCAGAUGUGUUUGGCUCUAUGUCUUUUGGCACUGCUGCCGUACCC